rnacentral:rRNA from 1 species
GAUGGGCGUGCGGCUGAUUAGGUAGUUGGCGGGGUAACAGCCCACCAAGCCUACGAUCAGUAACUGGUGUGAGAGCACGACCAGUCACACGGGCACUGAGACACGGGCCCGACUCCUACGGGAGGCAGCAGUAAGGAAUAUUGGUCAAUGGACGCAAGUCUGAACCAGCCAUGCCGCGUGGAGGAUGAAGGUCCUCUGGAUUGUAAACUUCUUUUAUCGGAGAAGAAACCCCAAUUUUCUUGUUGGGUUGACGGUACCCGAUGAAUAAGCACCGGCUAACUCCGUGCCAGCAGCCGCGGUAAUACGGAGGGUGCAAGCGUUAUCCGGAUUCACUGGGUUUAAAGGGUGCGUAGGUGGGAUGGUAAGUCAGUGGUGAAAUCUCCAAGCUUAACUUGGAAACUGCCGUUGAUACUAUCAUUCUUGAAUCUCGUGGAGGUAAGCGGAAUAUGUCAUGUAGCGGUGAAAUGCUUAGAUAUGACAUAG